CAAUAGCGUAUAUUAAAGUUGUUGCAGUUAAAAAGCUCGUAGUUGGAUUUCUGGUGGGGCUGUCGGCCUGGCUCCGAAAGGGGUCGUGGUUAGUACACGCCUGGCCAUCCUCGGGGGAAGCUUUGCUGGCAUUAAGUUGUCGGCGGAGUGACGCUCGUCGUUUACUGUGAACAAAUUAGAGUGUUCAAAGCAGGCUUAGGCCGUUGAAUACAUUAGCAUGGAAUAAUGAGAUAGGACUUUGGUUCUAUUUUGUUGGUUUCUAGGACCGAAGUAAUGAUUAAUAGGGACAGUUGGGGGCAUUUUUAUUCCAUUGUCAGAGGUGAAAUUCUUGGAUUAACGGAAGAAAACUACUGCGAAAGCAUCUGCCAAGGAUGUUUUCAUUGAUCAAGAACGAAAGUUAGGGGAUCGAAGACGAUCAGAUACCGU
rnacentral:rRNA from 1 species